UACUAGAGUGGCGAACGGGUGAGUAACACGUGGGUGAUCUGCCCUGCACUUCGGGAUAAGCCUGGGAAACUGGGUCUAAUACCGGAUAGGAGCCAUUUUUAGUGUGAUGGUUGGAAAGUUUUUUCGGUGUAGGAUGAGCUCGCGGCCUAUCAGCUUGUUGGUGGGGUAAUGGCCUACCAAGGCGGCGACGGGUAGCCGGCCUGAGAGGGUGGACGGCCACAUUGGGACUGAGAUACGGCCCAG
rnacentral:rRNA from 1 species